UACGUAGGGGGCAAGCGUUAUCCGGAUUUACUGGGUGUAAAGGGAGCGUAGACGGCUUUGCAAGCCAAAUGUGAAAGCCCGGGGCUCAACCCCGGGACUGUAUUUGGAACUGUGUGGCUAGAGUGUCGGAGAGGCAGGCGGAAUUCCUAGUGUAGCGGUGAAAUGCGUAGAUAUUAGGAGGAACACCAGUGGCGAAGGCGGCCUGCUGGACGAUGACUGACGUUGAGGCUCGAAAGCGUGGGGAGCAAACAGG
rnacentral:rRNA from 1 species